GAGAGACUACUGAUCGCUCUUCGUGCUGCUCCUAAAAUCAGCUCUAUUAGGAGUUAGAAAUACCAGCAUUCUUCCAAAGAAGCUUAUUUUUAUUAUAUUCCCAGCCUAAUACUGGAAACCAAAGAGCUUUAGAAUAGAACUGGCUGCAACUCUAGCAUUUCCCUUGAAAGAAAGCAGUGUCAGAGCAUCAAGAGAGAGAAGCUCCCGCUGGGAAGAUGUUGCCGAUCCUGCAGUCAUCCUGCUCUGCAGCCUCUCUUGUUUGGGCAGAAGCUAAUGGAGAAUCGUCAAAAAUGGUGUUUCUGAGUUCUCGCUGCUGUGAUGUGGAUGUGAAGAAAGUCAGGACACUGCAAAAGUAGAUCAGAUCAGGCAAUGAGUUCUCCCCAGCUCAUCUCACAAUCCUGGACUUCCUUUGAGUACAAAUCCAGCACCUUUCACCAGCAAUAAAAAUCACACAUUUUUCUACUUUAGCUUAGUUUUGAAAAAAAAAAAAAAAAAUCAAAAAAGCACAAAAUAAACUCUCCCUGGCAGAAUCCACCAGCUGUCCUGUAACUGCAUUUCAUUGUGAAACAGCUUUUCCUCAUCAGAGCUGUGCCCUGGAUGCCAUUUCUGG
rnacentral:lncRNA from 1 species